rnacentral:rRNA from 1 species
GACGAACGCUGGCGGCGUGCUUAACACAUGCAAGUCGUACGGUAAGGCCCUUCGGGGUACACGAGUGGCGAACGGGUGAGUAACACGUGGGUGAUCUGCCCUGCACUUCGGGAUAAGCCUGGGAAACUGGGUCUAAUACCGGAUAGGACCACUGCCUGCAUGGGUGGUGGUGGAAAGCUUUUGCGGUGUGGGAUGGGCCCGCGGCCUAUCAGCUUGUUGGUGGGGUGAUGGCCUACCAAGGCGACGACGGGUAGCCGGCCUGAGAGGGUGACCGGCCACACUGGGACUGAGAUACGGCCCAGACUCCUACGGGAGGCAGCAGUGGGGAAUAUUGUACAAUGGGCGCAAGCCUGAUGCAGCGGCGCCGCGUGAGGGAUGACGGCCUUCGGGUUGUAAACCUCUUUCAGCACCGACGAAGCGCAAGUGACGGUAGGUGCAGAAGAAGGACCGGCCAACUACGUGCCAGCCGCCGCGGUAA